UGGGGAUAACCAUCAUUCUUCAGGUGGUUAUGGUGGAAUUUCUAAAGAAUUUUGCAGAUACAGAGAGAUUGAAACUAUGGCAGUGGGGGCUUUGUAUCUUAUUCGCAGCUUUCUCAUGGCCAAUUGCAUGGGUUGUGAAGCUCAUACCUGUUUCAGACAAACCCUUCUUCAGUUAUCUCAAGAGAUCAAAACCAUGUUCACAAUUAAAUAAGUCAUCUACCACAAGAAACCUUCAAUCUGCAGGCAUGGAACUAGAAGUGCAAUAAGAUCAUGUUCUGAAAGAACAAGGAUGUAAGUUCAAAAUCACUUCACUGACACAAAGGACAACAUAAGGAGAUCAUGAUUCUAGAUUUCUUAUACUUUAAGAGCUACUAACCUAUAUUUAUGUAUGUAUAUGUAAUAUGACUUUUCUGAUAAAGGCCUUGGAACCAUUAAUGGUCCCAGAUUCAAUCUAACCUCAUGGAGCUUUGCUCUUAUCUUUACCUAGGAUGUUUCUAGUUCCAUGCCAAUUGUUAGUUGACUCUUUAGUAAUGGCUUAUUCCUUUCUAAAUCUGAAACAGGAUCAUAUGUGCUACCUAUUGUACUUAUUCUCGUAAAGUCUCUUCCAUUAUUCUACCAUCAAGCAUUUGAAAUCUGUAAUGAAGUCGGCAGUUCUCUACAGACAAGCUACCUAAAAUGAUCCUCCGAUCAAAAUAGUUUUGCAUUUGUUGCUUUAAUAGACAUAAUCGAGCACUGUGUUUCAACAGAUGCUUCUCUAACUGGAAGAAAAUUUGUUGGGUUAAAAGCAGCAGAAUGGUUUUUUAUGGAGUGGAGGGCUUGGUCUGAAGAGAGACAGACAGAGAAAAAAAAUGAUUGAUUUUGAUUCUACAAAUAGACAUUCUAACAAUGAAGCAAAGGAAAUACAAAUGAAAAAGAGAAAUAAAUAAAAAGAGAGAAAUUAUCAUUCUGUGGAGGUAAAUGAAGAGGUGGGUUGAGAGCUUUAAAAUCUAAACAGUGACAAAACGGAAAAGGAAAGCAAUAAUCGCCGAGACCCAAAGAGCGAGAGAGUAUUUCAGUGGAGAAACUGAUAUACACAUAAUAUAUAUAUAUAUAUAUAUAUAUAUAUUAAGUGGCAAUUGGGGAAGCUUCCUCAGCUGGCACCCGCUUUUUUUAAGACAU
rnacentral:lncRNA from 1 species